GACGAACGCUGGCGGCGUGCUUAACACAUGCAAGUCGAGCGGUAAGGCCCUUUCGGGGGUACACGAGCGGCGAACGGGUGAGUAACACGUGGGUGACCUGCCCUCAGCUCUGGGAUAAGCCUGGGAAACUGGGUCUAAUACUGGAUAUGACUCCACGGUGCAUGUCGUGGGGUGGAAAGCCUUGUGCGGCUGAGGAUGGGCCCGCGGCCUAUCAGCUUGUUGGUGGGGUGANGGCCUACCAGGGCGACGACGGGUAGCCGGCCUGAGAGGGCGACCGGCCACACUGGGACUGAGACACGGCCCAGACUCCUACGGGAGGCAGCAGUGGGGAAUCUUGCGCAAUGGGCGAAAGCCUGACGCAGCGACGCCGCGUGAGGGAUGACGGCCUGG
rnacentral:rRNA from 1 species